CUCUCCUCGAUUCUUGGACACGGACACUGUAAGGCCCCAGGAUCAGAUUCCACUCUGUUGCCCUACUCUAGCUCUGUGUCUGAGGGUGCUGCUGGCGGGUGUAUGUGGUCUGUGUGGUUUUUAUGUAGACAGUGUCCUUGUUCCCUCACAAGGCUAUAAAGCUGGGCACAGAGGCCUUAGGUCGCUCUUACACCCCUCACAAUGGUGUGGAGACCCUUACAUUGGGCAAACCUACAUUCCCUUCCCUGCGUGGCAGCCUGCAAACCCCUUUGGGAGUCCCUUGACUGUCACCAUCUCUCAGCAAUGUCUGUCCUUCCUUGUCUUGAUGCCAGGUCUCAGAAGCUAUUGUUGUAUAUUUUAUCUCUUUUGGUUAUUUGUGGUCACUCAGAAGACAUAAGAAUGAUCCUUGCUACUUUAUCAGAGUUGUCAGUGAAGUCCUUUGGUCAUCUCAUCUCCAUGUUCUCUUAUCUCAGAGCAAUCUCCUCAGGCCCCAAAGUCUCUGAAGACAGAGGACCCAGGCUGACUAGUUUCCUCUGUGAAUGAGAAACUGUCCUCUGACCUAAAGUAGAACUUGGCCUUGAUGUGCUCAGCAUGGAAAUUCAACAGCUCCUGGAUAAUGGCUUGCCUGGCUCCGCACUGACCCUCACGGGGAAAGCUUCAUGCCCUGAGGUCUUAGGUUCCAGUUAAAGUGAUGUCUAUCUUAUUGCAGCCCAGCCCAAUCUCCCAUCAAAGCAUCCCUGAUGAGGGAAGAGAGAGAUGGAUAAUCUUCCCAAAGCAUAUGAAUAUUUGUUUGUGGGCAAAGGAAUAAAUGGCCUAAUCAGACCCCAGGCGUGGGCCUGUUCCUACAUAAUUUCAGUCUCCUUGCUGUGGAACUCAAUGCUUUGACACUGGACACAACAGAGUUUUGUAGGGCUCUGACCCAAUGCCCACUCCUCAUGCCUACCUGGCAUACUUACUUAGCAUCCCUACUUGGCUCCCUGUCCCUGUCAGAAACCAGCACAGGCACACCUUGCCUCCCUGCUACUCCACUACCCUAUACUGUAGGGUUGCUGCGUUGGUCAUUUUCAGUGAGAGGCAGGUAGAAUGUCAUCACCUGAGACAGGCUGCCCUGAAGUUACCUCAUCUUUGUGGCUGUCAGCUGAUCUCCUUUAGAAGCUGCCUGGAGAUGAACUCAGCUGACCUAGAUGGUCUGCAUCUGGUCCCAGUGAUAAGUUUCUACCCAGGCCACUCUCUACAUUCCCCAGAAAGCUAUGAGAGUAGCAGCUAGUCACCAAGCUGGAUUUCACCAGGAGUCCACCUCAGCUCCCUCCCAUCUUUCAGGAUCUAGAACUGCCAGUCAGGACAUUUUGUUGGGGGCCCAUUUUCUUUGUUGUUUGUUUAGUUAUAAAGAUUUUAAUUUUCUUGAAUGUGUUAUUGUUGGAUUGAACACUGACCAGCAUAGAAAAAAAUGGUGAUAAGUGUCCCCUCUCCCAAGAUUUCCUCCAUUCUAAGCUCCCAGAGAUCUCAGAAACACACGCCAAGCUGCAAGAGAGUCACCUCUCUGUCCCCCAAAGCAAAGAAGAAUAUGUACACUACUUCUUCACCCUGCAUUUACAACUCAUAAUGCACUCAUUCAACAAAUGAGCACCAAUAUGGCUGGCAGAAGACUGUGACCCUGCCUCCAGGGUGGCUGAUGGGAAUAAAGUCCAUCUAGGGAAUAAAGUCUGCUCUUGCUCUUGUAGACCAUGAGGAAGAAACAUAACUGGAAGAUGGAGAUGGAAUGUUCCCUUGAACAGAAGUGGGAUCCCACUUCACACCCUGUCAGCAAGUGUGAUGGUUUGUAUAUGUUUGACCCAGAGAGUGGCACUAUUUAGGAGGUGUGACCUUGUUGGAGUAUAUGUGGCUUUGUUGAAGUAGGUAUGUCACUAUGGGCAUGGGCUUUAAUACCCUCAGCCUAGCUGCCUGCAAGUCAGUCUUCUACUAGCUGCCUUCAGAACAAGAGGUGAAAAUCUUAGCUCUUCCAGCCCCAUCCCUGCCUGGACACUGCCAUGCAUGAUGAUAAUGGACUGAACCUCUGAGCCUGUAAGCCAGCACCAAUUAAAUGU
rnacentral:lncRNA from 1 species